rnacentral:lncRNA from 1 species
CUCAAAUUAAAAGACCCUAGGUCUCUAUCACUUAUGGUUUACCAGUUAGAAAUGCAUUUCACUUAUAUCAAAUACAAAAGGGGGAAUACUCUCAUAUGGAGUCUCCUGAUAGCUUCGGUCAAAACUAAACUCCUAAUCCUGAAGAUGUAACGAGCAAUUUGGAAAAAUAAAUUUGUCGUAAUCUUGUAUGGUUGCGAAGGAGUAGUGGCCACAAGAAAAACAGUGUUUGGGGAGAUAACUCUUACAACGCAAAGUAUUUGGUUACGCAGUUGUCAGUUUUAAAAGCGCAUACACUUUACGAUAUCAUAUUCCAAAUAUCUAAGCGACAUCUUUUGAAACAUCAACAAUACACAAGAAAAAAAUUAGGCGGAAG